rnacentral:rRNA from 1 species
GAUGAACGCUGGCGGCGUGCCUAAUACAUGCAAGUCGAGCGAACGGACGAGACGCUUGCUUCUUUGAUGUUAGCCGCGGGCGGGUGAGUCACACGUGGAUACCCUACCUAUCAGACUGGGAUAACUUCGGGAAACCGGAUCUAAUACCGGAUGAUAUUUUGAACCGCAUGGUUCAAUAGUGAAAGACGGUCUUUCUGUCACUUAUAGCUGCAUCCGCGCUGCAUUAGCUAGUUGGUAAGGUAACGGCUUACCACGGAAACGAUGCAUAGCCGACCUGAGAGAGGGAUAGGCCACACUGGAAGGGAGACACGCUCCAGACUACUACGGGAGGCAGCAGUAGGGAACGUUCCGCAAUGGGCGAAAGCAUGACGGAGAAAGGGCGCGUGAGAGAUGAAGGUAUUCGGAGCGGAAAAAUCUGUUAUUAGGGAAGAACAUAUGUGUAAGGAACAGUGCACAGAGUGACGGUACCUAAUCAGAAAGCCACGGCUAACUACGUG